rnacentral:SRP_RNA from 1 species
GCUGGGUGUGGUGGUGCAUACCUGUAAUCCCAGCUACUCAGGAGGCUGAGGCAGGAGAAUCGCUUGAACCCAGGAGGUGGAGGUUGCAGUGAGCCAAGAUUGUACCACUGUACUCCAGCCUGGGGGACAGAGCGAGACUCUGUCUCAA